CAGUAGCCGCGGUAAUACGAAGGGGGCUAGCGUUGCUCGGAAUUACUGGGCGUAAAGGGCGCGUAGGCGGACAGUUAAGUUGGGGGUGAAAGCCCGGGGCUCAACCUCGGAAUUGCCUUCAAUACUGGCUGUCUUGAGUAUGAGAGAGGUGUGUGGAACUCCGAGUGUAGAGGUGAAAUCCGUAGAUAUUCGGAAGAACACCAGUGGCGAAGGCGACACACUGGCUCAUUACUGACGCUGAGGCGCGACAGCGUGGGGAGCAAACAGGAUUAGAUACCCGCGUAGUCCCUGUCUCUUAUAC
rnacentral:rRNA from 1 species